UGAAGGACGGAGGGAGACUCUCCUUGAGGGAAAAUGAGGCCGACAGGGGCCGAACAACUCGGCCUUCCAGCCAGCUAGAGGGGGUUGGACAAGGAUCCCAUUUAAUUCAGUUCGGUGUGCUUCAGGACAGGUCAGUAGCUCUUUGAGCACCUACUGUAUGCAGGUGCUCAAAUAUUGCGGAGCAAACAAAAAUGAACCGGACUCUUUGUUUGCAGGAACUUGCCCUCUGGCGGAGGAGACCCACCAAGACAAAGACACCUGCGGCUCAGGAUGGGUGUGAGAAAUUCACACAAGCAGGGCGGGGCCGGGGCAGGAGAGAGAAGGUCCUUCUGGCCUUUGUUCAAGGCGGACAGAGGCAGAAGUCUUGAAUGGGUAGUUUUCCACCGCUGACCCCCUCCAUGAUCUUUCUUUCAUGGCAUACAGCUGUUUGGUCUUAAAAAUCCGAUUUUUGGACUGAUACAGAUUCAGUGUUUGCUGAGCCUCUGGCUGCGAGCUGCUCUGUCUUGGCCACAUGCGGCCGCUCUGGGUUGGAGGAGGGACUGGAGUUCCCAGAUGUCCCUGAGGACGGAGACUGCGCAUGGGACAGGAUUCAGUGGACUUUCAUGUGUCCCGGCUCGUCCUCUGCAGGCCUGGGUGUUAGGGAGUCCGCAGGCCUCCGCGGGGACUGAGUCCUGACUCCGGAGCCCAGCCGCGGGGCGGGGGGUGGAGGGGAGCGCGGGUCCCACGGGGGCUUCCUCAGCGGGGUUAGUCCGUCCAUCCUCCUCUGGGCCCCUCGGACCCCCGUCCCCCAGGGGUCCUCCUCCUCGGAAGAAGACACCUGGCUUUCUGGACUCCCUCAGGGCCAGGUGCCCUCCUGCCGCCUUGCUUUAUAGCUGAGUCGUGGGGGGGACCCCAGCCUCCAUCCUCAGGCCCCUGCUGGUGGCUCCGACGUGGCCACAUCUGAUUUCAGUGCCCCUACAACCAAGCCCCUCAGUGCCCACUCCUGCCCGUCCUCCUGACUCCUCUUCCCAUUACUACCACCCCCCCAUCAUGUUGGUGAGACUCUCACCUGACCCCCCGUCCCCUCCUUUCUGCUGGUGUCUCUCAGCCCCACCCUCUGCCGUGUUCCUAGAGACCAUCCUUCAGAGGAGGGCCUGGGGCCAGAAGAGCAGCGGGGGCGGGGGGCGGGCAGGGUCCCAGGCUCCUGAGGUCUCCGGGAGAAGCCGCCUCUGGAGGUCCAGCAGAGGGACAGGAAUUGACCUGAGACCCUGGAUCUGGAGCUUCGAAGGUCAGCGGUGACCGUCGAGACCAGCUCUGGGGGCAGAAGGGCCCAGAACACUGUGUACGGGAACGUCUCCUGGAGGAGAGCCCCCCCUGAAGCCGGGAGAGCCAGCAUUUAGGGCCCAGAACACUGUGUACGGGAACGUCUCCUGGAGGAGCCCCCCCCUGAAGCCAGGAGAGCCAGCAUUUGCUACGGGUCAGCAGGUGUCUGUUGCACGUUGGAGAUGGCAGUUUGCAAAGGCAGGGCAUGUCCUUCCUUAGGUAGCAGCUUAGCAUCCAGGUAAGCCCGGGCUGCCUGGGACCGAGGCAGGGUGAUUUCCAACGAUGCCGAGAAAUUAAAACACACUUAAAAGGCAAUGCACAAUAGUCGUUAAUUUAUAAUAUGUUUACUUACCAGGAGGAUUCCCAGUUAGGAGCCAGAAACUCAAAGCUGUGGUAUCCGCGUGGGGGGCAUUUCGCUGUGUUUUAUUACCUUUUGUACUUGGUAAUCGCCGUUUUUGCUGACCGUCUCCCACACCCUCUGCAUGGUCGCAGCGUUGGGCCCCUUCUCAGCAGGGCUGAGCCUUUCUGGGCAUUAAAGUCCCUCUGGGAUGGAUUGACCCGGCGGUGAUUGAGCCUUCGGUGCUUCAGGAGAGCUUGAUGUCCAAAGCCCUCUUGGGCAGCAUUUCUUCGCUUUUCAUCUCUUUAGUGGCCGUUUAAUGAACUCCCUAAUUAUAUUUUGUCCACUGUAGGUUUGCGUUCGUCAAAACUGAUGAAUGAAAAAGGGCAAGGGCUCCUGCUGCCCAGGGCCUGUUGAUAACUAAUUUACCGACGCGGUUUUCCGUCCUCACUGCCUGUCCCAUCGUCACCUCUCCGGGCUCAGAACGGGGCCCCUGCUCAGCAGCUCGGGCGGCUUCCAAGUCUCUCCUAAAUUUACUGCUGAGUUUUCAAAAGGCUUAUUCCCCACUUGUGGGGAAUCUUGGAGGCCCAUCUGAGCCGAGCUCAGACGUAGGGAACAGACGUAGAUGAUGAGUGCCUUGCGGUCAGCUCUGGGACCGGCUGGGGACCGGACGGCUCGCCUCCAACGGAUACUUUCAAACACCAGAAGUGUUUGGCGCUGCCCUUGAAGAGUUCAGAAGUCUGGAAUCACCACUACGCAGGUGAGCCCUGUGUCGUUGAAGGAAACUGUUUACCACUUCUAUUAGCUUACCAGGCUGCCGUAAGGAAGUACCACAAUCGCACGGCUGAAAUUUAUUCUCUCAGAGUUCUGGAGGCCAACGCCAAGAUCGAGGUGUCGGCAGGGCCGUACUCCCUCUGAAAUCUGCAGGGAGGAUCCUUCCUGCCUCUUGCAGCUUCUGGGGGCUGUCCGCCAUCCUUGGUGUUCCUGGGCUUGUAGACACGUCACCCCAGUCUCUCCUCUGCUCUCACAUGGCUUCUCCCUCUGUGUCCCCACAUCAUCUUCCCUCUGUGUGUCUGUCUCGAUGUCUCUUUUCCUCUUCUUGUGCAGACACCAGUCAUACGGGAUUAGGACCCACCUUAAUGACCUCAUCUUAACUUGAUUACAUCUACAAAGACUCCAUUUCGGAAUGCGGUCACAUUCACGGUUACUGGGAGUUCAGACUUCACUUCGGAUCUUUUGGGGACACGAGUCAACCCUCAGCGGCAUCCUAGCCUCAUUCUUGCGUGUUUGUGGGGUGUGUUUCAGUGAGUCACUCUUUUUCUUAGUUCAGGGCUUGACCCUGUGCCCUGAGUUCAUCUGACUGACGCUGCCGCGUAGUGGGUUUGCUUGGUGCAUCCAAUGACCCAGAUCUGGGGCCACGUGUGAUGGUCUGUCCGUCGUGUGUGGCUGCCAUAGUUGGGAACCAUCGGCUAUAGGAAAUUUUCUGCAAGUCAGGGAAGAGCACCAGCUCUGGAUUCCGAGCCCUGCCCCCUCCCCUUAGCUCCGCGGCCUUGGAGAGGCGACUCCCCAGUCCAGGUCUCGUCUCUUCUGUAACAGUAGGGGGUGGAACCCGAAUACUCGCGGGUCAGUUCCAGCUCUGUAGCCACCACGUCUGCACGUCUGGGAGAAGAUGAUUCCUUUCCUAAAUUCUCUUCGCUUAAGAGUUACUGUUUUUAACCCAUAUGUUGGUUCAGAGAGUCAGAUAAUCAAAUUUGAAUGUUUUCUCAGUUCUUUACCUUGAAAAAUCUAUUUUCCCAAGAAGCCAAGAUGACGCCCUUUCUAAUCAGGUUUUCCAAACCAUUAAUUAAUUCAUUAAAGAGAUCAGCUGAGGUCCCUAAUGCCCAUCAGGAGGCGAAAAGAACAUGCGUUUCCUUGCUCGUGGUUGUGCAACCAGCCAAGCGGAGCGUGCAGCGCGGCUGGGUUGAGGGAAAUGCCGGGGCCAGUGGUAAGAAGGGCAGCACAGAUGCCGUGGAUGUGAGGCCAGAUGCUCCGCCGGUUGUGACAACAGCAGCGCCAGCCCCUGGCAGCACCGGCAGGCCCCGCGGGAGCCCUCGGUGGGCGGUGCGCAAACAGGCUGGGGUAUCUGCACGUCCAGGGCAACGGCAGCGGACGGGGGCUGUCUCCGCACAAGUAGCCCCACCGCUCAGGGAGCCUGUGUGGAGCUGCCAAUUUCACACCAUCUCUGUCUCUUUCCUUGAAGCAGAGGACCUGAUUCCUAGAAGUCCUGUCAGGCGUGGUCUCUGGUCUCUGCCCAUCCCCUCCCGCCCCUGUCGGCUGCAGACCUCAGCCCACGGUGCCUGACCUUCUGCAGCACUGAGGUGGGGAGAGAACCCGGGCACGUCUGGUGAUGUUGAAGGUGGAGGAGGGAGGAUGUCUUUCAACUUGCAGCCUGGCUGUCAGAUCCAGGUUUCUUUCUGCUUGCGCGUCUAGGAGGACUUCUUUUACAGAAAAUAUUUUAGGAGUGUUGUCAGAAAACCCAGGACCGCUGUUCGGCUGCAUGGUUUGGGCCAAAGUUUCUUAAAAUUAAAUAAUGUAUAAACCCCUUUUGAAAGACCUCCUGUUUUGACCUGAUUGUUUAUUAUUCUAUUAUAU